rnacentral:lncRNA from 1 species
UUUCUAUGUUUUCCUGUUUGGCCAUUUUCCUCUCUCUGUUUUCUAUCUUUUGCUGUAUAGACUAUGUUUGUUUGCUUUUACCUUUGUAACAUUUUGGAAUUUUAGUAUGUGCUUUGAAAAUUUUCAAAAGUAUCCCUUAAACCUAUUUCUUUGAUUACCAGAGAGUUGGAUAUGCAACAGGAUGUUCCCCUGCCAUUAUUUUACUUCUUUUCUACCUCUCAUUAGCUGUUUGCAUAAAAAUAAAAUGGAGAUAUUAAUCCAUUUUUUUUCCAGAAAGAAUAUAUGGAUAGUACAUCUUCUAAGCAUUUGUAUCUCUUGAAGUAUGAAGUUCUUGCCUCCAUUUCUGACAGGCAAUUUGGCUGGAAUUAUUUGAAAUAAUCCCUGUUUGAUUAUCUGCUGGCAUUUUAGUGGGAGAGAUGGGGUCUCUCUCUUCCCCAGGCCGGAGUGCUAGAGUGCACUGGCAUGAUUACAGCUCACUGCAGCCUCGACCUCCUGGGCUCAAUUGAUCCUCUAGCCUCAGCCUCGUAAGUAGUUGGGACUACAGGCGUGUACCACCACAUUUGGCUUUUUUUUUUUUUUUUUGGUAUUUUUUGUAGAGACAAGGUUUUGCUAUGUUGCCCAGGCUAGUCUCGAACUCCCAGGCUCAAGUGAUCCUCCCGCCUUGGCCUCCCAAAGUGC